UGGGGAAUAUUGCACAAUGGGGGAAACCCUGAUGCAGCGACGCCGCGUGAGCGAAGAAGGCUUUCGAGUCGUAAAGCUCUGUCCUAUGAGAAGAUAAUGACGGUAUCAUAGGAGGAAGCCCUGGCUAAAUACGUGCCAGCAGCCGCGGUAAUACGUAUGGGGCGAGCGUUGUCCGGAAUUAUUGGGCGUAAAGGGUACGUAGGCGGUUUUUUAAGUCAGGUGUCAAAGCGUGGAGCUUAACUCCAUUAAGCACUUGAAACUGAAAGACUUGAGUGAAGGAGAGGAAAGUGGAAUUCCUAGUGUAGCGGUGAAAUGCGUAGAUAUUAGGAGGAAUACCGGUGGCGAAGGCGACUUUUUGGCCUGCAACUGACACUGAGGCGCGAAAGCGUGGGGAGCAAACAGG
rnacentral:rRNA from 1 species